rfam:Ipomoea nil DNA, scaffold: scaffold0865, cultivar: Tokyo-kokei standard.
AUACUUACCUGGACGGGGUCAAUGGGCGAUCAACAAGGCCCAUGGCCUAGGUUGAUGACUUCCAUUGCACUUUGGAAGGGUGUUAACCUAAGGUCUACCUUAUAGGUGGAGCCUAUGUCAUAAUUUGUGGCAGAGGGGGCCUGCGUUCGCGCGGCCCCUAC